AGAGUGCGUAAUAGCUCACUAGUCGAGAGGUCCUGCGCCGAAAAUGUCCGGGGCUGAAACACCACACCGAAGCUCAGGAAUCACACUUAUGUGUGAUUGGUAGAGGAGCAUUGCAUACGGAAUGAAGCAGUACCGAUAAGGAGCUGUGGACUGUAUGGAAGAGAGAAUGCCGGAAUGAGUAGCGAGAAUGAAGUGAGAAUCUUCAUGGCCGAAUAUCCAAGGUUUCCGGGGUAAAGCUGAUCUGCCCCGGGUAAGUCGGGACCUAAGGCGAGGCUUAAGUGCGUAGCCGAUGGACAACAGGUUUAGAUUCCUGUACUUCCCAUGAACAGAACUGUGGGGACACAGCAGACGGAGCGCGAGCCGGAAAAGGAAAGUCCGGCGCAAGCGGUGAGUGUGUCAGGAGGCAAACCCCCUGUAUAAACACAAGCCGUGAUGCGGAGCGAAAUACAAGUAGCGAAGAGUGCCGAGCCGCUGUCGAGAAAAGCCGCUAUUGUUUUGUGGGAACCCGUACCGUAAACCGACACAGGUGGAUGAGGAGAGAAUCCUAAGGCCGGCGGGAGAAGCAUUGUUAAGGAACUCGGCAAAAUGACCCCGUAACUUCGGGAGAAGGGGUGCCUGCAGAGCUAUCUGCAGGCCGCAGAGAACUGGCCCAAGCAACUGUUUAACAAAAACACAGGUUUAUGCAAAACCGAAAGGUGAAGUAUAUGAGCUGACGCCUGCCCGGUGCUGGAAGGUUACGAGGAGAUGUUAGAGCAAUCGAAGCAUUGAAUUUAAGCCCCAGUAAACGGCGGCCGUAACUAUAACGGUCCUAAGGUAGCGAAAUUCCUUGUCGGGUAAGUUCCGACCCGCACGAAAGGCGUAAUGAUUUGGGCACUGUCUCGACAAUGCACCCGGUGAAAUUGAAAUACCAGUGAAGAUGCUGGUUACCCGCGCCAGGACGGAAAGACCCCAUGGAGCUUUACUCCAGUUUGAUACUGGGAUUCGGUAAUGCAUGCACAGGAUAGGUGGGAGGCUAUGAAGCAGGAACUCCGGUUUCUGCAGAGCCGCUGUUGGGAUACCACCCCUGCGUUGCUGGAUUUCUAACCUGCGCCCGUGAUCCGGGCGGGGGACAAUGUCAGGCGGGGAGUUUGACUGGGGCGGUCGCCUCCGAAAGGGUAUCGGAGGCGCUCAAAGGUUCCCUCAGAAUGGUUGGAAACCAUUCGAAGAGUG
rnacentral:rRNA from 1 species